CGGCCGGAGACGGCGGCCGGUUGGGCCAGAAAGCCUUCUCUGACUGGAGCUCCUGGCUGGCGUCGAGGCCGUGGUCCUCGAGGGCCGCACGAGGGUCCCCGGAAACGCUCAGUCCCUUCCCCAGCCCCUUGAGGUGGCAGGUGCGCUGUCACCCCCGAGCCUCGGUCUCCCAUCCGUGGAACCAAGGCGGGCGGGGGUGAGGAGGAUGAGGAUGAAAGUGAGCUUGGACAAGGCGAGCCCAGCCCUCGGCCUCAGAGGCCUUCGCCCCGGGUGGCAGCCCCGCGGGGCCUCUGUCCAGGAGCAGCACUUGGCCCUCUAGAGACCUUCGUGGGGUCGGGCUCCCCCCUGCACGCUGCCUGCGCCCCCUGAAGAGCUGGACCGGUGGCUGUGUGCCCUCCGGCCCGCAUGCCCUGUGCCUGAGCCUGCCUGCCUGCAGGCGAGCCCUGAGCCGCCGCUGGGGCUGGGUCCUUCCCGCCUCCGUACCAGCCCUGCCUCCUCGGCCCAAGUCCAAGGCAGCGUCCUAACAACUGCUGGUGAUCAGGCCUGGAGGGGUGUGGGCAGGGUUGUCCCCACACGGCCAAGCAUCUCCAUGCAGGGGUUGGGCGCGGGCCGCCUCCUGUCCGCCAGGACUCCUGGAUCGCCCUGCUCCCCGAUGCCCGUGACAUUACGGGAUCUUCAGUUUGGGCACAGAUGUGUGUGUGAACAAGUCCUGGGCCAACCCGACUUCCGUCAGAGCUCGUACCCUGCCCCCAGGACAGCUGGAAUGCAAAGGAAGCCAGUCCCUUGCCCUGCAGAGGCCAUGAUGGUGACUGCUGACCACAGCUUAGGCGCUUCCAGAGAGAGGUCUCCCGAGACAGAUGCCCGUCUGAGAGCCGGACACUUUGGCUCUGCUGGAGUGUGAGGCCAACCACUGGGCUGAACUCUAUGGCCCACAGGACGAGUGACAGGCAUCGGCUUCUGCAGGGAGGGUUGUUACCUGAGAGCAGGGAUUGGCUUAGCUCAGAGGUCCCCCCACCCCCGUGUGGAUCUUCCCUUUAGGCCUCAGCAGGGGUGUAAGCCACAAGGUUAGGGAUGGGUGGAGGGUCUCCAGAAGGAGCCUCCAUGCAGCUCCCACUAAAGCUGCCCUGGAAAUGCUUGCUCUGGCUUCAGGAGCAACACGGGUUUCUCCAUGGUUAUGCUGGAUCUCCGGGUCAAACUGUCAGCGUGGGGUCUGCAGUGAGCCACCCGCCCCCACCCUUGCUCUCCAUGCUCUGGAGCCUGGCUCCCUCACCCCUGCCCAGACCGCAAGGUUUGCAGGUCCACACUGCUCCCGUAGCCCUCAUUUGUCCAUCCAUCAAGUCUCGUGAGCACCUGACUCGCUGUGGCCCAGUCUCCAGUUGUCCCUUACCGACAGAACUCCAGUUUUGUUCAGGGCGGGAAUGUGCCCAGCGUCACUGGCAGCUAGAGCUGGCCAUGUGACCGUCCUGACGGGGGGAAGAUGGGAGAAGGCACAGUAGUCUUCAGGCCCCUCCAGAAGGGACGGAGGAGGCCGGCCAGCUCAUCUGACUGUCCUGCCCUCUUCUGUCCCAGCCCAGAGUGUGGGCAAUGUGCGGAGGACAGCAGCUAUUCCGGGAGGAAGAAGAUGGGUCCCAAGCCGAGGACAGGGAGCCUCUGCCCCAAGUGCGCCCCCAGACUCAUCGUGACGGGAGAAACAGGUCCCUGCUUCCUUCGUGCUGCUGAUGACACCAUUCCCAGCAGAUAACAACCCCUGUGCGCCUCAGGAUGGAACCAUCACCCUGCCCUGGGCUCCUAGGAGAUCGACUCCGGCGUGAGACUUGUAACAGCCUCCCAAGGUAUUUGACGCCAAGAAGGAGUGGCAGAGAAAAAAGCAAAAGCAAACCGUGAGUGUUGUCUCCGCCAGUCACAUCUUCAGUGAAGGACGGGUUUGCCACCCCUCCUGGGAAUGGCAGAGCCCACGCACGCUCCGUCCCCAAGGGAGGGGGCGUCUCCACACCCCGGGCUCGCCACCUGGCAGUGCGCUCCCUCCUCUCUCGCCAAAUCUUACCCUGCUCUCCGUCACUCAUUCAUUCAGCAAUCUUUGCUUCCAAUGUCAAGGCAACAUGCCAGGCCCUGGGGAUACCAUACAAUUAGAUUCAGUUGCUAAGGACAGAAAGCCCCAAUAACGUCGGCUGAGACAAAAUCGGUGUUUGCUUCUGAUGUUGCACACCCGAGUCCAGGCAGGCGAUAGGGCUGCAAAGGUGACCUCAUGGUCACCAGGACCCCAGAUUCCUUUAGUCGGGUUGCUCCCGUGACCCUCAGAUAAGAUCUUCUGCCUUGCGGCCGUCAUGGCUGCUCUCCAGCCUGCAGGAAGAACGGGACCCUGGAGAGGCGUAUAGGCACGCUCCCACCCCGGUCCUGCCCUUGUGAGGACACCUCCCCGAUCCCCACCCCCUUGGCCAGAGCCGGGUCCCUUGUCGCGGCACGGGAGGCUAGGAAGUGCCCUCAUCCUGGGGCCUCGGUUCCCAGCCGCCCUCGGAGCCCUUGUGCCUAACACGAGGCGGGGGGUGGCUCCCCUAGCAGUCGCCGUCAGGACACGGCCUCUGACACGGUGCUCACAGUCUGGCAGCCACAAAUGGGCACUGGGAACCUGAGUGGUGGCCAUGCGGGAGCAGAACGGGGUCUUGGGGAGCAAGAGGCCCCCCCCAACAGAGAGGCUGGCAUAGGGAAGGCUUGAGGGGUAGCGAUUCCGGGAGGGGGCUGCGGGUGUCCUGAGGUAGGCGAGGAGCCUGGGGACGUCCCCGUAGGGCUGUCACACGCUCCUCUGUGCCCACGUCCUGAGCCCUGCAGCCACCGCCGACUCCAGAACCCCUGCCCUCCACCACCGCUUCUGCUGCACAUCCCCCAGGUGGGAGGGGGCACACGGGGCCGCGUCACCCCGGCCACAGCAGACACACGGACCGUGGACACGGCCCUGCCACUCCCUCUCUCCACGGCCGGUGGCACACAGCUCAGCCUUCUCACGCCGGCACCUGUUUGUGCGGUAGACCCCGGCCCCCAUAGGGUGGCACCAGGGACCUUGGCCCGACACCCAGGCGGCCAGCGACAGCUCACGGUGAGAAGGAGUGAGCAGGAGGUAAGCACGGGAGGGGGUAGGGGAGGCGCCGUGGCCGGGACACUUCCGACGCUCAUCUCUGUCCCCCUGGAAGCGGCACAGUUCCCAGCCUCCUGGCGGUGUGGUGGCUCCCGGUGGCCCCCAGACACAGGACCCUGAGCAGAGGCAGGGCUCAGCCUCUCCGGGCCUCAUGCUGACGCACCGGCCACAGGAGGGAGAGGACGGGCAAUUGGCUUUCUUAGGGGGUGACUGAUUUCGGGGCAACAAAGGUUGGGUUGCAGGAGGUGGACAGAGGCAAGGGCACCGCCCUCUGCAGGACCCAGGCUUUCACCUUUCUGAGCCCAGGCCACACCUGCGGGUUUGGGGGCAGGUGCAUCAGGCCGCCACCAUCUCCCAGGGACUCGGUAAGCACAGCAGUUUCAUCAGAGAGAGCGGGGGGCUUGAAAAUCGGGGGCAAGAGAAGUAGGCGGCGGGGGUGUGCAAGCCUCGGGGGGGGCCCCCUCCACUUUGCAUGGGGGGCCCUCCCCCAGACUGGGCUUCGGGCUCCUGGGGGUGGGGGGGGGGGCGGCUCAGGGGGAGUUCUCUCAAGGCAAAGCUGGAACGACAGGCCUGGCCGCAGAACUUCCCACGAGUGAGGGGCGGGGGCCCGGGGACCCUCACACCGGAACUAACCUACCUACAGCCUGCAACCCGCUGUGGUUUCUUCCGAGGUGCUCUGCAAACACGACGCGUUGUCCUCCUGGUAACGAGUAUCCGUUUAGGGGCAGGUGGGGUCCACCUCCCCCCACCCCCCGCCGCUGCCCUUCUUCUCCCUCCGGCUGAGCCGCCAGCCCACUGGCCACAGCCCACCAGCAGCCCCAGCCUCCCGCCUCCCCGUGGCGCCUGCCCUGGGGUGUGUGGCUCGACCCCUGGUUCCACCACGUGCCUGCCAGGAGGGCCGCAGUCAGACACCUGCCCCGAGCCAGCCGCCUCCUCACGCGUGCGAGCGGCACAGGCCACAGUGUUUCCAACUCUGUGGCGUUAACGGAAGGCUUGAGGGGGUCGGUGCCAGGGAAGCUUUUAGGAGCCCUCAGCCCAGCACCUGGCCCCCUGGCCUUUGGCACAUGAGAACAUGCGGACGGCACCCUCAGAGCAUCUCAGAGGAGCAGAGGGGACAGACAGGACCGGAGAAUCCCCUGCUGAGCCAUAAGGUCAUCGUUAGGUUGUGUGAGGAAACAGCACGCCAUUGCCAGGGUGUCGGAAAGGUUUCCCAGAGAAGGGGCAUUUGGGCUGGGUGCUGAAGGGUGAGUAGGAGUUUGUCAGGCAGGAACAGAGUGAGUCUAACAUGGAUGCUGCAGAAGGCUGCCGCAUCCACCUCCUGUGUCCGUUUCUGCCCAAACUCCUAUUUCAAACAUAGCGCUCGGGGGUUGCCCCAGCCCCCACCUCCCUUCCCCCUUUCCGGGCUCACAAACACAGUCCCAGACACUCACAGAGCAAAGAAUUGACUUCAGUAUGCUCCCCCCCCCCCCACCCCACCCCAGGAGCCCGAGCCCCCAGCCCCCACCGUUGUUGCGCGGAAACAUGGUAAUGAGAUGCUAAUGAGCGAAGGUAAAAAUCACAGAGAAUAGCAGUUUGCAAAAUCACAACACUUUGUGCCUCCGGAGGCUUCCCCCCCCACCCCCCCGCCACAAGCAUGCCACCAAACCUCACGACAGCGCCAUGUGUGUGGGCAGAAAGCACCCACGAGCCCCACUUCUUGGGGUUGUUGACGGGGUCCAGGGAGGGCAGGAAGAGGAGCCCCUGGCCCCAGGCCCUGCCCAGGCAGGGCUUCUAUUCUGCCUGGCUCAUGCGCCUGGUCUGAUCUGGGGGAGGGUGGUGGGUGUUCCUCUCCUGGACCACCCGUCACACCGGGGUCACAUCCAAGCUCCCUGCCUGGCGUCCCAGACCCUUCCGGACACUGCCCCGAGCCCACGACCGCCACCUCUGCCCGCACCCCUGGUCUCCACCCAGCCUGGUGUGUCUGCCUGGAAGGUGACUUCCUCCGGCCUGCGAGGCUACCCUCCCCACACUCUCACCUCUGCUCCUCGGUCUGCGUGUGGGGCCUCCUCCAAGCUUACCCCUCCCACGGCACCGACGGCACCGUCUGCCCCCCCGAACAGUCAGCUACUUGUCGGCAGCGACUGGCACAUGGCUGCUUUUCUUGGUGUUUGUCGAACGAAUAACCAAGUGAGGGAAUGAAUGAUGGGCUUCGUGUGACUGAGCUGAAGGGCUCUUGGAGAUGGUCUGGACUAUUCCAAGGGAAGCUGACGCCCAGAGGGAGGAUGCGGCCUCCCAAGGCCUUGGCCCUGAGCUCCUGGCCCCCAGGCAAGCUCAUCCUCUCCCAGCUGUGGUGGUAGGACAGGUCCUCGGAGCUGGGGACCCUGCCUUCGCCCCACUGUCUCUCCCACACCCCUGGGUCCUCACUGCUGCCCACGCUCCAUCAGUGUCCUCCCAGCCAGAGCCCCUGGCAGUCCCUCCUCUGUCCCGGAUACCUGCCCCUUGGCCAGGCUGCGGGCUCUGACUAACAGCAGGCCGGGGGGACUUGACGUACCACCAGGGGCUUCUGCUCUGGGGCUGACGGGCCCUGCGCUCCUCCACCUCCAGACCUCGUGGGGCCUGAGUGGGCACCAGGGUGGACAGCAUCUCUGGCCCCCUGGAGGUCGUGGAGGCCGAGAGAAAGGUGAUCUGGGCUGGACCCAGGUGAGCCGCUCGCUCGGCCCCUCCGCAGGGAAAGGGCUGGAGCACACGGGGCUGCAGCUACCUGCCGUUGACCACCAGGGUCCCAGAUGGGUCCGUCCAAGGCAAGUGCAGGGGGUCUCUGGGCCCUGCGCAGGCAGGGGUGGGGCCUCGGGAGGAAGGGAGCCUCCAUUUUGAAGAUCCUAGCGUGGGUUGAUCGGGCUCAUGGUGGCAGGGAAGGGGGCUGCGGGCAGGACUCCGGGCCGAGGGGCUGGCCGGGCAGAGCUGGGCGGGGCUCCCAGCAGCGGCAGCGCUGUGAUGACCACAGCCGGGGGAUCCAAGCUCCCCUGGGCCACUGGGCACCACUCUGUUCCACGGCCCAGCCACGCCCCGUGAGAUGUGGCUCCCGGAGGCACCCCGGAGCCUUGUCCCGGUUCAGACCUGGCUGCUGCUCUUCCUUGCUCUGUGACUCUGAGAGCAAGUCCCUCUGCCUCUCUGAGCCUCAGUUCCUCCCGGGGAAAUGGGUGCCUGGCACCAGCCACGUGGCUGUGACGUACGCAGAGGCUGGCACGGAGCUCUUUGUAUUUCGCACCAUAACUGGGAAGAAAGGGGAGUGCUGGGCCGUCCAAGACGGAGCAGAGAUGAGGUCUGUCCUCGAGAGCCUCACGCACCUGUCCCUGCCCCGUCCCUGGCCAUGCAGGUGUACUGCCGCUGGCCUCCCCUGGUGACCGUGGGCCAGUGCUGGGCUGGGAGGUGUUGGGCGCAUUGCCUGUGUUUGGUGAUCACUGUUGUAUUUAUAGGGCUUGAUGGGGAUAAAAAUAAAGUGAGUGCGGUCUUGGGAGUUACCGCAGAGCACAGCACAGUGUGGUCUCGCCGUUCCUGCUUGGAGGCGGGGCCUGCAGGGGACAGGCAGGGGCGCAGGGUGACGAGCGGACAUGUUGGUGGAUGUCAGUGGGCUCACGUGAACGACCUGAAGCAGGGUUCGCGCCGCUCCUGCCCUCUGCUUCUCCCACCCAGGCCUCCGUGGGGCCAAAGGGUGCGUUAGUGCAUAUCCAGUGUCGUAGGGCUUAGCCUGGGACC